ensembl:lncRNA
GCUAGAGUGAGACAGCUGAACUGCUAGAGUGAGAGGAGCGAAAAAAUUAAUCUUAAAAUAUUUUUUAAAACUGCUGCUGUGUCCGCAGCGUUUGCUCUACAGGUAUGAUUUUACCCUCAAAACGUAGCCAUCGCUGUCCUCUUUCAUCCAAUGUGUUUACUAUUGUGCUAGGUGUUAUGGUUCUUUCAUAAAUGUCACCAAAGCACAGCCUCCUCCCUCCAACUCCUCCAUAGACUCUAAUGUUAAAAUGGCUCAGAAGGUUCGUUUGAAAAUCAGAAGAGCAUGGUGUUUUUACACUGUCACCACGUCCAUAUAAUAAACUCCACAGGCAUGAAAACUGAGAAUUAGGUAGACUGGACAUUGCUGCCGCUCACGGUGAAGGAAUUUCGUCAAUAGGACCUGUACUUUUCAUUUGGGAACGAUUUGUUUCGGCCUAACUUUUCUGUUCAUUUUAAGCAGCAAAAGUGAGGUGCAUGUCUGUGUGCGUGUGUAUGGAGCCCCUGGCUCAGUCACUAUAGCAACCAGGCUCACACCUGCCUGCCUAACGAGCUCUCUCUCACUCUGCCAAGAUUCAUCUUGAACACUUCUCUUUCAACUGCUGCUGUGUCCACAGUAUUUGCCCUACAGCCAUCAUUUUACCCUCAAAAUGAAGCCAUCGUUCUUCUC